CGGAGGUAAGGAAGGCUACGGGGGGAUAGUUUGGCGGCGGGGACUAAGUAGAAAAAAAACAGAGAGAGACAACUGAGAGGGUAAGAAGGGCGGCGAAAAAUGGAAGAAAAAAAAAAGAAGUUGAGGGCAACAACGGAACAAGAGUGAAGUCUGGUGGCGGACAAAGGGGCUUCGGAUAAGAAAAGGGAGGUCCGAGAGCUUGAGAAGAGGAGGAAGGGUCUUCGGUUGAGGGCCGAGAGAGUUGAGAGCCGAGGGAGAAAUCAGAUGGCCGGCUGAGAUAGGGAGAACGCGAGAGCGGAGAGUCUAAGGUUUGGGGUUGGAGUGAAAAAAGGAGAGGAGCAGCGAGAAGAGAAAAACGCAGGGGAAAGCUGGGGAGUUUCAGGGCUUCAGGCUAAAUAAAAAAAAUAGAGAACAGGAAGCGAAAAAGCAGCUGGAGAUUUGGGGCUAAGAGGGAAGAGAUCUGGGCAGAGGGAGGGAGCUAAAAACAGAGAAAGAAAAAGGGCGGCGACACCAAGCUCAAGAAAAACAGAGGGAGGGGGUCGGAUGGAAAAAAGGGGACGGCUGAUAGCGGCUGAAAAAAACAGAAAAGGCCGGGAGAGGUUUCGGCUCAAAAAGGGAACGAAAAGAAAAAUGAACGGAGGGCUUCGUCCAGAAAAAAAGAAGAAAAACAGAGAAGGAGGCUCUCGGUUGAGGGGAAAAAAAAACCAGAAAACAGAGAGGAGGGCAGCGGGAUUGAACAAGAAAAAAUCUGGGCAAGAGAAGGAGAACAGGGCGAAGGGCAGUAAGGAAAAAGCUAAGAAGAAAAACAAAAAGAGCGACGCCAAGAGCAAAAGGGAGUUUCGUCAAAGGGGACAGCGGAAGAAAAUCAGAAACCAGAGGGAGGAAGCUUCGGGUAGAAAGGUAAGGAAGAAAAGGGGAAAUCUGGAAUUUGAGGGGCGAACUUCGGAGACUAAACAAAAGAGACCGAGAGAGUUGAGAGCAAAGAAAGGAAACAAACAAAAACAGGAGAAGGUCUUGAGGGCUGGAAACAAAAGGAAACUUCGGGCAGAUUGAAAAUGAAGAAGGAAAGGAAAAGAAGGAAAGCUGGGCGGAAGCAUGGCAGUUUGAUGUCGGCUUCGGAACUUUACCGGGAGAAAAUAUCGACCUUUCUUUCAUUAGCUAAGAAAUCAUCAUUUUGGUGAAUAACACACAGAAGCUCCACUUUCUCUCCCAAUAUACAUCUCUCGGGUCUCUCCCUCACAGGAGAAGGAAGAAAAGGAAAAAAAUUUUCCCUCCCUCUCUCGGCUAGCUCUUAACAGACAAGAAACAAAAACAGACACAAGAAAAAAA